AUAGCGUAUAUUUAAGUUGUUGCAGUUAAAAAGCUCGUAGUUGGAUGUCUGCCGGGGCGCGCGGUGCGCCCUCGGGCGCGACUGCGCGUCCCGGCUUGUGCCGGGGGCGGGGACGAACAGUCCCAGCCGCCGGCGGUUUACUUUGAACAAAUCAGAGUGCUCAACACAGGCGUCUCGCCUGAAUGUUCGUGCAUGGAAUAAUGGAAGAGGAUUUCGGUUCUGUUUUAUUGGUUUUUGGACGCCGAGGUAAUGGUUAAUAGAGACAAACGGGGGCAUUCGUACCGCUGCGUGAGAGGUGAAAUUCUUGGACCGCAGCGAGACGCACGACAG
rnacentral:rRNA from 1 species